rnacentral:ncRNA from 1 species
GCAUGGCUGCGCCGUCUACGCAGUCGUGCGGUCUUGCGGGGCGCCCGUACGCACACGGGGCGCAAGGAGACGAGAGGA